AUUGAACGCUGGCGGCAGGCCUAACACAUGCAAGUCGAACGAGUGGCGGACUGGUGAGUAAUGUCUGUGAAUCUUGCUUAUGGAGGGGGAUAACUACGGGAAACUGUAGCUAAUACCGCAUACCAUAGGAUUAGCCCACAUGGGAUUAGGUAGUUGGUGGGGUAACGGCUCACCAAGCCGACGAUCUCUAGCUGGUCUGAGAGGAUGACCAGCCAAACUGGAACUGAGACACGGCCCAGACGCCUACGGGAGGCAGCAGUGGGGAAUAUUGCGCAAUGGGGGCAAGCCUGACGCAGCCAUGCAGCGUGGAUGAAGAAGGCCUUCGGGUUGUAAAGUUCUUUCGGUAGCGAGGCGUUAACUACAGAAGAAGCACCGGCUAACUCCGUGCCAGCAGCCGCGGUAAUAC
rnacentral:rRNA from 1 species